CAACCGUGGAGGGUCAUUGGAAACUGGGGAACUUGAGUGCAGAAGAGGAAAGUGGAAUUCCACGUGUAGCGGUGAAAUGCGUAGAGAUGUGGAGGAACACCAGUGGCGAAGGCGACUUUCUGGUCUGUAACUGACACUGAGGCGCGAAAGCGUGGGGAGCGAACAGGAUUAGAUACCCUGGUAGUCCACGCCGUAAACGAUGAGUGCUAAGUGUUAGAGGGUUUCCGCCCUUUAGUGCUGCAGCUAACGCAUUAAGCACUCCGCCUGGGGAGUACGGCCGCAAGGCUGAAACUCAAAGGAAUUGACGGGGGCCCGCACAAGCGGUGGAGCAUAUGGUUUAAUUCGAAGCAACGCGAAGAACCUUACCAGGUCUUGACAUCCUCUGACAACCCUAGAGAUAGGGCCUUCCCCUUUUGGGGGACAGAGUGACAGGUGGUGCAUGGUUGUCGUCAGCUCGUGUCGUGAGAUGUUGGGUUAAGUCCCGCAACGAGCGCAACCCUUGAUCUUAGUUGCCAGCAUUCAGUUGGGCACUCUAAGGUGACUGCCGGUGACAAACCGGAGGAAGGUGGGGAUGACGUCAAAUCAUCAUGCCCCUUAUGACCUGGGCUACACACGUGCUACAAUGGAUGGUACAAAGAGCCCGCAAACCCGCGAGGGUAAGCUAAUCUCAUAAAGCCAUUCUCAGUUCGGAUUGCAGGCUGCAACUCGCCUGCAUGAAGCCGGAAUCGCUAGUAAUCGCGGAUCA
rnacentral:rRNA from 1 species